rnacentral:rRNA from 1 species
AACGAACGCUGGCGGCAUGCCUAACACAUGCAAGUCGAACGAGACCUUCGGGUCUAGUGGCGCACGGGUGCGUAACGCGUGGGAACCUGCCCUUAGGUUCGGAAUACCUCCCCGAAAGGGGUGCUAAUACCGGAUAAUGUCUUCGGACCAAAGAUUUAUCGCCUUUGGAUGGGCCCGCGUUGGAUUAGCUAGUUGGUAGGGUAAAAGCCUACCAAGGCGACGAUCCAUAGCUGGUCUGAGAGGAUGAUCAGCCACACUGGGACUGAGACACGGCCCAGACUCCUACGGGAGGCAGCAGUGGGGAAUAUUGGACAAUGGGCGAAAGCCUGAUCCAGCAAUGCCGGGUGAGUGAUGAAGGCCUUAGGGUUGUAAAGCUCUUUUACCCGGGAUGAUAAUGACAGUACCGGGAGAAUAAGCUCCGGCUAACUCCGUG